ensembl:lncRNA
GUGAGGAAGCUGAGGCUCAGAGAGGUGAGCCAAGGUCACGUCACGGCUGGAAGCCAUGGAGCCAGGACCCUCCUGCCUCCUGGUCAACAGACCCCGGUGUUUCUGCCUGUAUUUAGCAGAGCUUUGCCCACUGUUACUGCACAGUAGAUGUUGCUGACUCUUCAAACAAGGACCAUGCACACCUGAAGUCCCAGAAGUCCUCUGUGAUCUGUCAAGGAGUGUGGCGUGGUGGGUAACUGCUGUCAGAUAUCCCAGGUUUGAGUCAGCUUUGCCACUCCGGCUGUGUGGCUUCGGGCACGUUCCUGAGCUUCUCUGAGCUUCCAUCUGCUCAUCUGUGAUGGGGGUCACAAUAAUAGACCCGCCGAAAGUCUGUGGGACUGACUAAGGGCAGGGAGAUGAGCAGCUCGCGUUGUCCCCAGCACCUCGCACAGGCCUGGGAAGAACUCGAGGUCGGUCCUCAGGGCAGAGGCAGGCUGGCAGUGGGCCGGGGAGGGGGCAGGGAGCUUCAUGUAUCUCCCAUGACUCAGUCCUGUUCGAGGAGUGGGGAGUCAAGGCCAGGCCUCUGAGGUCGGGCGCCUGGGGACCUCCUGUCCUCCUCCUCCCUACUCUGCCCUCGGCCUGCUCCCCACCCAGCGCUUCCGGCAGUGCCGGGCAGGGCCUCACGCAUUCUCCGCUGGCCGCCUGGGCACGCCCUCCAGCUUUCCCCAGAUCCGCAGCCCGGAUCUGCAGCCCCGUGGCCCAAGGGCUCGGACGCUGGCCCACCGUGGACCACCUUGAAUGGGGUUCUCGCCCUACACAUCCUUCAGCUGCCCUCUUGCACCUGGCCUUACCUGGGCAGGGCUGGACCCCUGGGACCAGAUGGAGGGACCACAGGAUAAGGGCUUGAGGAUGGUGUACAGGAGCCGACAGCCCACGACGACGGGACCUCAGUCCUACAGCCGCAGGAACUGAAUCCUGCUGACAACCAGUGAGUUUGGAAAACCAUCCAAGGCCCUGAUGAGAUUGCAGCCCUGCCAAUGCCUCAGUUUCACUCGGCAGGACUUUGAGCUGAGAGCCCAGCCAUGCCACGUCUGGCAAUGAUAAAUGGUACUGUUCGUGUCCGACUCUGCAACCCUGUAGACAGCAGCCCACCAGGCUCCUCCGUCCCUGGGAUUCUCCAGGCGAGAACACUGGAGUGGGUUGCCAUUUCCUUCUCCAGUGCAUGAAAGCGAAAAGUGAAAGUGAAGUUGCUCAGUCAUGUCAGACUCUUCGUGGCCCCAUGGACUGCAGCCUACCAGGCUCCUCCAUCCAUGGGAUUUUCCAGGCAAGAGUACUGGAGUGGGGUACCAUCGCCUUCUCCAUUUCAAGCCAAUACAUUGAUGGAAAUCUUAUGUGGCAACAGGGAAUAAGUCCAUCAUCGUUCCAAAGAGGAGAACAGUAUUCUAGAUGCAAAUGUAGGAUAAAAGUUUAAAACUGAGAAAAACCCGUCCCCUGCUCCUCGGGCGCUCUGUAAAGUGGAAACCUGCCACAGCCUCUGUGCUGAUGGUCCCCCCUCCUGCCCUCCUGGCUGCAGUUUAAAUCCAUGGUCUUAGGGCUCACGUCUCUCGCCUGAGCUUACAACCAGCCUCAGAGGAGGGCAAGUGUGUUCUGGAAAGGGUAGCACUGAUGGCACCUUGAGGGCAGUCACAUCCCACUGUGGCUGAAGAAAGAUGCUCUGGAACCCUUUGCUUUAGGAGAUCCCUGAGGUUUCUGGGGCUCCUGGGACUUCUGGAAAUCUUCAGGGUCAACAAAGCUAUUUUUUUAAAGAAAUACAGCUGUUUAAUUUAAUAGCUUUAUUAUAUAUA